GAUGAACGCUGGCGGCGUGCCUAAUACAUGCAAGUCGAGCGAACAGACGAGGAGCUUGCUCCUUUGACGUUAGCGGCGGACGGGUGAGUAACACGUAGGUAACCUACCUAUAAGACUGGGAUAACUUCGGGAAACCGGAGCUAAUACCGGAUAAUAUUUCGAACCGCAUGGUUCGAUAGUGAAAGAUGGCUUUGCUGUCACUUAUAGAUGGACCUGCGCCGUAUUAGCUAGUUGGUAAGGUAACGGCUUACCAAGGCAACGAUACGUAGCCGACCUGAGAGGGUGAUCGGCCACACUGGAACUGAGACACGGUCCAGACUCCUACGGGAGGCAGCAGUAGGGAAUCUUCGGCAAUGGGCGAAAGCCUGACGCAGCAACGCCGCGUGAGUGAUGAAGGUCUUCGGAUCGUAAAGCUCUGUUAUUGGGGAAGAACAGCCGUGUAAGUAAAUGUGCACGUCUUGACGGUACCUAAUCAAAAAGCAACGGCUAACUACGUG
rnacentral:rRNA from 1 species